GACUAGUUGUGUUAUAUUGUGUUUUGUAGUCAUGGUUGUUGUCAUUGUGUUGAUAGUUUGGCCGGGUUGAAUUCCCGGAUUGUUGUUGAUAAAAAAUUGGCUAAGUUGAAUUUUGGGGAUGGUGUAUUUAUAGGGGAGAUGCUGCCCAAAUUUUUGUAGACAAGUAUUGGUUAAGAUUGAAAUCUUAAAGCCUUACAAUUAACAUUUGGUAAUUGUGACCAAAUUGUAGAUUUUGGCGAACUUGAAACUUGAUUUUGGAGACGUGUAUGAAGCGGAAAAGGUCAGCAGACAGGUGGACGUGAUCCUUAGAAGCUCUACCAGCCGCACUUGACAGCGCUCCAGUUGUUCCGGAGCCUCACUCCAGCGGUACUAUUUUAUGCAUAUACAUUCGGGCUUGGUAGCACCCCGGCCCUUUCUAUGUAUAAGUGUACUAUGUCUAGAGGCUCGUAGACAGAUACGUACAGUCAGUCAGGUACAGAUAUAUGUAUAGUGUUUUGGCAUGUUAAUAUUGUUGUACAAGGUAAUAA